rnacentral:rRNA from 1 species
GACGAACGCUGGCGGCGUGCUUAACACAUGCAAGUCGAACGGAAAGGCCCUGCUUUUGUGGGGUGCUCGAGUGGCGAACGGGUGAGUAACACGUGAGUAACCUGCCCUUGACUUUGGGAUAACUUCAGGAAACUGGGGCUAAUACCGGAUAGGAGCUCCUGCUGCAUGGUGGGGGUUGGAAAGUUUCGGCGGUUGGGGAUGGACUCGCGGCUUAUCAGCUUGUUGGUGGGGUAGUGGCUUACCAAGGCUUUGACGGGUAGCCGGCCUGAGAGGGUGACCGGCCACAUUGGGACUGAGGUACGGCCCAGACUCCUACGGGAGGCAGCAGUGGGGAAUAUUGCACGAUGGGCGGAAGCCUGAUGCAGCAACGCCGCGUGCGGGAUGACGGCCUUCGGGUUGUAAACCGCUUUCGCCUGUGACGAAGCGUGAGUGACGGUAAUGGGUAAAGAAGCACCGGCUAACUACGUG